GACGAACGCUGGCGGCGUGCCUAAUACAUGCAAGUCGAACGCAGGGGGGACGGGUGAGUAACACGUGGGUAACCUCCCAUCAGAGGGGAUAACACUUGGAAACAGGUGCUAAACAGAUACUGAAGGAUGGACCCGCGGUGCAUUAGCUAGGUGGGGAGGUAACGGCUAACCAAGGCCACGAUGCAUAGCCUGCCUGAGGAGGUGAACGGCCAACCUGGGAUCGGAACACGGGCCAGACUCCUUCGGGAGGCAGGCGUUGGGAAUCGUCUGCAAUGGACGAAAGUCUGACCGGACCACUCCCCGAGAGUGAAAAAAGUUUUCCGAUCGUAAAACUCUUUUGUUAGAGAAGCGGUAACUAACCGGAGAGCCACGGCUAACUACGUGCCAGCAGCCGCGGUAAUUC
rnacentral:rRNA from 1 species